UCACACGAAAAUGUUUUGUAAAUAGUUAUUGCUAUAUCAAAGCCUUUUGGAAUAUUACAAACUAUUCAAAGGGCAAUCAGCUGAAAGGAGUGGGAUAUGAUCAAUACACUGAACAAGGCGCAGAAAAGUCUAGAACACUUCAAGAGGCUAUAAGAGACAAGAACAUUUCUCAGAAAUGAACAUAUCUGAACGACAAUGUCGCUGGUAUUUACGACUGUGUUUUUUUCUAGUCUAGUUACAUCGAAGAGUGUAGCAAAUACUGUUAGUCCUAUUAAAAUCUCAGAACAAAAGUUGGAUUUGAUUAACAAUAAUUCUGUGGAAUGUUUGCGCUUACAAUGUGAUCGACACAGUUUGUGUUCGGAAGAGAGUAUUCAGUUGAACGAGAAACUUUGGAAUCUGGAAUUAACCAAGAAUGAAGAACUAGUUGUUUCUAGUGUUAAUAAGUGGUGCAGAACUUCUACGGGGAUCUUAAUAGGCGAGUCGAAUACUACAAAUGUUAGUUCAUCCGCAGUACAAUCAUUGAACACUGAAAGCAAACGCUGUAGUCUUUGUUUGUGUUUACCUACUAACCUCACCAAUAUUACUAGAUCUACAAAUAGCUAUUCUGAUCUUGCUAAGAACGGAAGCUGUGAUAGAGACAUUUGUGCCAGCGUAUGUUUAAACAGGACAGAUUCGUCCAUCAUGUUUAGUGAUGAAUCGUAUUGUUUCGUUCUGAACGUUAGCACAUCUUGUCGCUUCUGUUGUCCAAGCGUGGAUAGUGGAAGAAGAGAAAAGUUGAGUAUCUUGUUUAUAGUGAUACCAGCGUGUCUGAUCUUGUGUUUCAUUUGCCUGGCCUUGAUAUGUGGCCUGGUGGGUUGCAGAAAGACUUCACACCAAACUUUGCCCGUACAGCUGUUGAUUACAACCAGAAACGAACCAGAAUAUACACUGAACAUGUCAGAAAGUCGAGAGCUUUUAAAAUGCCAACGCCAGUGUCCAGAAGUUGAAACCACUUUUUGAUACUUUAAUACUUUUAACUUUUUCUUUUCUAAGCUCUAGAUUAAACUUGGAAUGUUAAAGCCCCUCUGCAAAUCAAUAAUGGGGAUCCCAUUGAGAGUGCCACUUUAGGGUCUCUCCUCUGCAGCCUCUGUCUCACAGCCCAUGGCGAUUAGCAAUUUUCUAUAUUUAGAGUUCUUUUGAGAUGUGUACGUAAAAUCUAGAAGCACUCUUCGCCAGGUGGCUCCUCAGUCUGAGCUUGCUAAGCCCAUGCCAAAAUGGAUUACAAUUAUGACAUUGUAACUCUGCUCUGCGCACCACUAGCAUAACCCAAUAAGUGCACACCAUUAUCAACAGUGCCGAGUCUCAAUGUGUAAAAAUGACGUUUUAAGCCCAGCAGUUGGUACUACAGCUAGUAUUAGAGAAGCAAACCGUUAGUUCCCCACCACCAAGUAGCAGAAAGAGAAGAGACUGGUGCCAGUGGACAUGACAGCAGAGAGAUGAGGGACUAGUAAUGUUGGCAGUUCUUUAUGGUGUUGUCAGCCAGGUAUAUGGUGUCGGGGAAGGUCAAUCAUGGAAAGGGGCAGAAGUUCCUGCUGAUGUCUUGUGAAAAUACCCGUUCCUGGAGCAAAUAUAGAGUGGCAACAGACCAGUGACCCCUCGUGGCUAUUUCGUUACAAGGUCCACAGAGGCGGCACCUGUGAACUGUGUGGACUAAAGAACCGACUACUUAAGAGGACUGUUAUUCAUACUCACUGUAAAUAAACCUUUUCAUCUUG
rnacentral:sRNA from 1 species